UCGUUUAAUGGGGACAGAGGUUCUACUUAGCUUAUCUUUUUGUCUUUUCAAGAUCAAUUUGAUUUCACAAGAGAGAAAGAGGCAAAAGUCCUGCUGUCCUGCCAGGCUCAGGGCCUCUCACACACAAGCCCUGCGCUCCAUGCCCUGAGCCAUCAAGCCCUCUUAGUCUCUGGGUUCAGGAAGGUGAGGGAUUCUGAAGCAGAUGGAGAAGGUGUUUGACUGACAGGACUCAAUGCCCAGAGCUGUGAACUCUAUGAGCGGAACCACUUGCUAUCCCGUGUUGUGUGCAAUCUCACUUGUGUUCCUUUCAAGCACAAAACAGAAGAAGAAAAAAUAAAGGAUGGAUGGGCACAUGCCAGUACAGGACCUAGAAUUCCCACCCACCCCCAGCCCAACUGGAAGCCACCACCAGGUUCCAGAUGCUACCAUGAUGCUAGCCUGACUUUGCUGAGCAGACGACCCCACCAAUGUGUCCUAGAGUCCCGCUUCCCCAGAGCCCUGCCCCAUUAGGGAAAGAGAGAGACAGGCUGGGAGUAUGAAUCGACCUAUCAACACCCAUGUUCAGCGAGGAAGCAAUUACAGAAGCCAGACCUUCCACCUUCUGCAUCCCACAGUGACCCUGGGUCCAUAUUCCCAGAGGGUUAAAGAACAGGAAAGCUGUCAGGGG